GGCAUUUUUGGUCUAGUGGUAUGAUUCUCGCUUUGGGUGCAAGAGGUUUCGAGUUCGAUUCUCGAAAUGGCCC